rnacentral:rRNA from 1 species
GACGAACGCUGGCGGCGUGCCUAAUGCAUGCAAGUCGAGCGGGCUACGGUCUUCGGACUGUAGCUUAGCGGCGAACGGGUGAGUAACACGUAGGUAAUCUGCCCUUCAGAGGAGGACAACCUCAGGAAACUGAGGCUAAACCUUCAUACGUUCACUGGUAGGGAUACUGGUGAAGAAAGAGUUACCUUAGUGGUAGCUGCUGAAGGAUGAGCCUGCGGCCCAUCAGGUAGUUGGUGAGGUAACGGCUCACCAAGCCGAAGACGGGUAACCGGUCUGAGAGGAUGUCCGGUCACACUGGGACUGAGACACGGCCCAGACUCCUACGGGAGGCAGCAGCAGGGAAUCUUGGGCAAUGGGCGAAAGCCUGACCCAGCGACGCCGCGUGGAGGAAGAAGUCCUUCGGGGCGUAAACUCCUGGACUGGGGGACGAGAAAGGACGGUACCCCAGUAGAAAGGGACGGCUAACUACGUGCCAGCAGCCGCGGUAAAACGUAGGUCCCGAGCGUUGUUCGGAUUCACUGGGUGUAAAGGGCGCGUAGGUGGUUGUCUGUGUCUCAUGUGAAAACUCAGGGCUCAACUCUGAGAUUGCGUGGGAAACUAGGCAGCUAGAGGACGGUAGAGGGGAGUGGAAUUCCCGGUGUAGCGGUAAAAUGCGUAGAUAUCGGGAGGAACACCGGUGGCGAAGGCGGCUCUCUGGGCCGAUCCUGACGCUGAGGCGCGAAAGCUAGGGGAGCGAACC